GACGACAGUCAUGCAGCACGUAGUUUGUAGUGCAGAUGAUCGAUGGGUGUACGCAUACUCAGCCACUUCAGGCAGGAUGACGUUCCUCAGCGAUGAAAAAUUAUAUCCUCCAGGUAUAAGCUAGAGCGGGCUCCCUGUCAAGUACUUAGAGUAUCACCAAUGAUGGGCGUACUCCCCAGCUAGAUGACUCAGUAAUUCGGAGGGACGCUCGCUGUCCAUCGCUAACAUGGAGUAAUCAUCGUUAGGGGGCUAGACUACUCCGGGAUCAAAUCGAGUGCGAUCCCCACGCCUGAGCCUUCAGGUUCAAGGGCAUCCAUCCGAGAGAUUUUGCAAUAUGAGGAGAGUGGCGCAUGUAUGCAUAUCGCGUGAGCAACUUUCCUUUUUCGCAGGUAUAUCCUCUAGAAGGAGAUCUUAAUAAAGCACAAUAUCAUCGGUGUGCAACUGUAUUUGAUUCCAUAUUUAUUGGACCGCGAAGGGAUCGUGUGACAUCAGUUAGUCGGGAGAGCAAUGGCCUCCCAAGGAGACGAUGUUUAGCGGCUAUGGGAGGAGAAUCCCCCACAUUGGUAUUGACACACGGACCAGACUCCUACGCGAGGCAGCAGUAAGGAAUAUUGGUCAAUGGGAGGAAGCGGGAACCAGCCAUGCCGCGUGCAGGAUGACUGCCGUAUGGGUUGUAAACUCUUUUGUCCAGGAAUAAACCUAAAUACGUGUAUUUAGCUGAAUGUACUGGAAGAAUAAGGAUCGGCUAACUCCGUGCCAGCAGCCGCGGUAAUACGGAGGAUCCGAGCGUUAUCCGGAUUUAUUGGGUUUAAAGGGUGCCUAGGCGGCCUAAUAAGUCAGGGGUGAAAUACGGUGGCUCAACCAUCGCAGUGCCUUUGAUACUGAUGGGUUUGAAUCCAUUUGAAGUGGGCGGAAUAAGACAAGUAGCGGUGAAAUGCAUAGAUAUGUCUUAGAACUCCGAUUGCGAAGGCAGCUCACUAAGCUGGUAUGACGCUGAUCACGAAAGCUGUGGU
rnacentral:rRNA from 1 species